UAUGCUUUAGUAUAAGAUGUAUAAAAGUUUUUGAUACUUUAGGGGAUGGUUUAAGUCUGUCAGGCAUAA
rnacentral:tRNA from 1 species